UGGGGAAUAUUUGGCAAUGAGCGAAAGCUUGACCAAGCAAUACCGCGUGAAGGAUGAAGGCCUUAGGGUUGUAAACUUCUUUUCUGAUUGACGAAAUUUUGACGGUAUUUCAGGAAUAAGCAUCGGCUAACUUCGUGCCAGCAGCCGCGGUAAUACGGGGGAUGCAAGCGUUAUCCGGAUUUAUUGGGCGUAAAGCGUUCGUAGAUGGUUUUUUAAGUUUAAUGUUAAAUUACAAAGCUCAACUUUGGACGUGCUUUAAAAACUGAAAAACUUUAGUACAAUAGGGGUAAAGGGAAUUUUCAGUGUAGCGGUGAAAUGCGUAGAUAUUGGAAAGAACGCCUAUAGCGAAAGCACUUUACUGGGUUGUUACUGAAAUUGAGGAACGAAAGCUAGGGGAGCAAAGC
rnacentral:rRNA from 1 species